AAAAUAAUUACCCGGGGAACUUUUUAAAAUGCAGGUUCUGGGUGGAGCCUGAGAUUCUGCAUUUCUGAUGAGCUCCCAGGUGAUGCUCAU
rnacentral:pre_miRNA from 1 species